AGCCCGGUAGCUCGGCUGAUUAGAGCGCCGUGUCAAUAACGCGGAUUAUAUGGAUUCGAUCCCCAUCCGGGCAA